rnacentral:rRNA from 1 species
GAUGAACGCUGACAGAAUGCUUAACACAUGCAAGUCAACUUGAACUUCGGUUUGGGUGGCGGACGGGUGAGUAACGCGUAAAGAACUUGCCUCACAGUUAGGGACAACAUUUGGAAACGAAUGCUAAUACCUGAUAUUAUGAUUUUAGGGCAUCCUAGAAUUAUGAAAGCUAUAUGCGCUGUGAGAGAGCUUUGCGUCCCAUUAGCUAGUUGGAGAGGUAACGGCUCACCAAGGCGAUGAUGGGUAGCCGGCCUGAGAGGGUGAUCGGCCACAAGGGGACUGAGACACGGCCCUUACUCCUACGGGAGGCAGCAGUGGGGAAUAUUGGACAAUGGACCAAGAGUCUGAUCCAGCAAUUCUGUGUGCACGAUGAAGUUUUUCGGAAUGUAAAGUGCUUUCAGUUGGGAAGAAAAAAAUGACGGUACCAACAGAAGAAGUGACGGCUAAAUACGUGCCAGCAGCCGCGGUAAUACGUAUGUCACAAGCGUUAUCCGGAUUUAUUGGGCGUAAAGCGCGUCUAGGUGGUUAUGUAAGUCUGAUGUGAAAAUGCAGGGCUCAACUCUGUAUUGCGUUGGAAACUGUGUAACUAGAGUACUGGAGAGGUAAGCGGAACUACAAGUGUAGAGGUGAAAUUCGUAGAUAUUUGUAGGAAUGCCGAUGGGGAAGCCAGCUUACUGGACAGAUACUGACGCUAAAGCGCGAAAGCGUGGGUAGCAAACAGG